rnacentral:lncRNA from 1 species
GUAGUCGGAUCCCAAACGAACUUCUACCAUGGGGCAGGAUCCACUGGCCAGGUCGUUACUCUUUGCUCCCACGACAGUCGAUCUUCGACCGAGCUCCAACAAUAAGAGGCCUCCUUUCAGCCUUCCACAAGAACCAAACUCUGUCCGAGCUUCCACAGUGGAUGGAUUUCGGAUGAGCUUUCGCAAUGGAUGGGCUCCAGUAGCUAGAUUUCUACAACGAUCGAUCGCCUCC